rnacentral:ncRNA from 1 species
UAAAGUAGAGGUGCACCAUCCAUCAUUAGUCGGCGUGCAAGCCUUCGCAGGGCGUUGCGGCGGUGAAAGGGGCAGGUGCCGAAGAGCCCGAGGCGCAAGGGUAUCUGGCUUGGCAGAGAAUAUCUGCCCGGUUGUCACUUAAAGCAUUAAGUGGAGGGCUACUGCA